rnacentral:rRNA from 1 species
AUGGCAGAAAUUGGUAAGGGAAUACCUCAAGUUGGUAUGAGAUUCAGAAAUGUGGAUGAGGCUUGGGCAUUUUGGGUUGCAUAUGGGGGUCACACAGGCUUUGAUGUGAGAAGGAGAUAUGCAAACAAAAGCAGACUUGAUGGUCAGGUUGGUUCAUGUAGAUUUGUUUGUUCCAACGAGGGUCAUCGAAGAAAAGGGCAAACUGAUCAUGCACCAAAGCGUUUUAGAGCUGAAACAAGAACCAAUUGCCAAGCUCGUAUGUCUUUUCAAUUGGAUCGAGAGGCCGGAAAUUAUGAAGUAACCGAGGUUGUGCUGGAACACAACCACUUGUUGCAAUUGCCACAAACUCUUCACUUGAUGGUAUCCCAGAGAAAGAUUUCAGAAAGACAAGCUUUUGAAAUUGAAACCGCCGAUGAUUCUGGCAUUAUGCCACAAGCUGCACAUGAGUUUGCUUCUCGUCAAGUUGGUGGACCGAUUAACCUUGGAUAUACUUGCCGUGACCAAAAAAAUCAUUUGCGAACCAAGCGACAAAGGGAGUUGGCUUUUGGACAAGCUGGAAGUAUGUUGAAAUAUUUUCAUGACAAAACUACUGACAAUCCAUCAUUCCAAUAUGCACUACAGUUGGAUUGUGAGGAGGAUAUAACCAACAUAUUCUGGGCUGAUGCUAAAAUGAUCCUUGACUAUGCACACUUUGGUGAUGUUGUCACAUUUGACACUACUUUUGGCACAAACAAAGAGUAUAGGCCAUUUGGUGUUUUUCUUGAGCUCAAUCAGUUCAGAGAAACUACUAUUUUCGGUGCUGCCUUGCUGUUUGAUGAAACAAAGGACUCAUUUAUAUGGCUAUUUGAGACUUUUCUAGCUGCACAUAAUGGAAGACAACCUAGAACUAUUUAUACGGAUCAAGAUGCGGCAAUGGGAAAAGCUAUAGAGAAAGUAUUCACGGAAUCAUAUCACGGGUUGUGCACCUUUCACAUUAUGAUGAAUGCUGUCAAACAUUUAUCUCCAGUCAGGGGUGAAGAGAAAGAUGUAGGAGAGGUCGAAGAGGAAGAUGAAGGGGAGGUGGAAGAGGAAUCUCAUAUUCUCUCUGAUUUUAGUGCUUGUAUGUUUGGCUAUGAGGAAAAGGCAGCAUUUCAAGAAGCAUUUGACAACAUGCGACAUAAAGUGCAUAAGCAAACUUGGUUAGAUAGUAUCUACAAGGUGAAAGAAAAAUGGGCUGAAUGUUAUAUGAGAGAUGUCUUCAGUUUGGGAGUGAGAAGUACACAACUAAGUGAGAGUUUCAACAAUGCGUUGAAGAACCAUUUGAAAUCUGAUUUCCAUAUUGUCCGAUUCUUGAUGCAUUUUGAGAGAACGAUUGAAGUAAAAAGAAGAAAGGAAUUGGAAUCUGAAUAUGAGGCAAGAAAAAAGUUGCCAAGAAUCAAAAUGUGCACUCCGAUGUUGGUGCAAGCAAGCAAAGUGUACACUCCCACUAUUUUUGAAGCUUUCCAAAGUGAAUAUGAAAGAUCCAUGGCUGCUUCCACUAGAGUGUUGGAUGAAAAUAACAAAUUCGCUGUUGCUAUUGGGAGGUUGCAUGGUGAUUUGACUUAUGAGGAGGAGGAGGAGCGCAUAGUGAUUGGUGAUCCUUUGAACCAAAUAGCUUCAUGUAGUUGUCAAAUGUUCAAAAGGGCGGGAAUAUUGUGUGAACAUAGUUUGAAAGUUCUUGAUUUGAUGAACGUAAAGACAUUGCCAACACAUUAUGUCCUAAAGAGAUGGACCAGAGAAGCACGCAAUGGAAGUAUACAAGAUAGGCAAGGAAGGAAAGUGGUAGAAAAUCCAAAAUUGAAAGCUCAACUUUGGUACAAAGAUACGUCUCAUAAAUUUCAUGAUAUGGCAUAUAAAAUAGCCAACUCUCCUGAAUGUCGUUUGUUGCUAGAAAAUGCACUUGAUUCUCUUUGGCCACAACUAGAGGAUAAACUCAAUGCAUCAGCUACUAGUGCUACGAAUGAAUGUUCCAUUGACCAAGAAAAUGUUGAUCCAAAUGUGCAGCAAGCCAAUGACUUUCUUAGUUCUGCAAAACUGAAGAAAAAAGAGGUUUCAUCUAAAAAAUUAAGGAGAAAGCAAACUUGGUUUGAUAAGUUACGCAAGGGGCGAAAGCAACCUAAAUCAGCGGCAACAACAGAAAAGGAAGCAAAGCAACAACAACAAAAGAAAAAAGACAGUGUGCAGCCUCAAGUGCAAGUGGAGAAUGAUGGCACAAACAAAGGAGGGAGUCCCAUAGGAGAAAGUGAGAAGCGUCAAGAAUACGAUGCAAUCGACAGCUUUACCAAGCUUUUGACAACUUCACGAGUUGACGAUGAUAUCUUCAUGAUGAUCUGA